GCGGUCUUAGCUCAGCUGGGAGAGCGUUCGCCUCACACGCGAGAGGUCGCUGGUUCGAGCCCAGUAGGCCGCA
rnacentral:tRNA from 1 species